rnacentral:lncRNA from 1 species
UGAAUAAUUAUGCAUUGCAGACUGUCAUAUAAGGUUAAACCCAUUUAAAAGUGAUCUGCUAAGGUAUGGGCUAUUUAGGCUUUAAUGUAUCUGAUAGGGUGUGGGCCUUUAAUGUGUAGAGACUUAAGGGUUAUUCUUAUUUUCUAUGAUAGGCUGAAAUAGGAAUACCAAAAGAUAAUCAUAGGAAUACCAAAGGUUAUCUUAAGGGUGGUUAUGGUCCCUGGAUCACACGUAUGUAUGAUUCUAUUCUGACAUCCCAUCAUCAGAUAGAGAACA